AAAAAACUUUCAGGGGAGGACACUUCAUCUUUUCUUCUUCUUCUUUUCUUCUUCUUCUUCUUCUUGUUUUUCUCUCUUC
rnacentral:ribozyme from 1 species